rnacentral:rRNA from 1 species
UACGAAGGGGGCUAGCGUUGUUCGGAAUCACUGGGCGUAAAGCGCACGUAGGCGGGUCGUUAAGUCGGGGGUGAAAUGCCAAGGCUCAACCUUGGAACUGCCUUCGAUACUGGCGACCUCGAGUCCGGGAGAGGUGAGUGGAACUCCGAGUGUAGAGGUGAAAUUCGUAGAUAUUCGGAAGAACACCAGUGGCGAAGGCGGCUCACUGGCCCGGUACUGACGCUGAGGUGCGAAAGCGUGGGGAGCAAACAGG